rnacentral:rRNA from 1 species
GUCUACAGCCAUACCACCCUAAAAGUGCCCAAUCUCAUCUGGUCUCAGAAAUUAAGCAGGGUUGGGCCUAGUUAGUACUUGGAUGGGAGACAGAUCUUCAGAAGAGACU